UCUUCUUCUCUCUCACCUUCCAGAUCAUUCCAUCUAUCGGAUUUGCCGCCCUCUUACCCUCUCAUCCUUACUGCCACUGCGGCGGAGACUCUCCCCCAUCAUCACCGUGCCUCCUUUUUGUCUUCAGUCCUCCUCCAAUUGAGCUUCUCUUCAACUUCAUCUCCCCUCCUUUGUUGUCACUACGUUCUCUUUGUAUCCCUUUCAUCUACCAUCACCACCUCUAAACCCCACUACUUCUCUCUCCAGACGCAAUCUCUCUCUCUCUGCUCGAGGUUAAAGAAGAUGUAGUGAAGCAAUAUAUGAAAGCAUAAGAGAGAGAUUUAGUAGAAAAUCAUGAAUACGAGAUUGUGAGAGAUAGAGAUUUAGCACAUCAGAAGCCUGAGCUGAGACUGAGUAUGGUGCUUGAGUUCAUUCAUCGAGUUGCAAAGGGAAGCCCUUGCAUUAAUUUUGCUUUGCCCUUGGCUCAAGGUUGUUAGGAUAUUGUAGUAGACAUUAUAGUUUGAAUUUUACAGGGUUGUUGUGCUUGGCUUUCUUUGAUUGUAAAUCUACUUAUUUUGAUGAACAAGUAGACUAAGAAGAAAUGGCGCACAUGAACAUCAUAAAGUGUGACUUAAAAGUACAAGUUGGACAAACUAGAGAUGGAGAUAUGCUCUAACAGAUGCCAAAGGGGUUUCAUAGUAUUAUAAUAUAUUCGGUUAACCGCAAACAUACGACUUAUUUUCUUUUGCUCCAUUAUCUCUACACUCUCUAAAGACUUUGAGGACCAGUAGGUUUGUGCAUCUGCCUACAUUCGAGGUGGCAUGUGACUUGUGCAUCAAUUGGGCAAUUGAGGUCAACACUCCUUGAGGUCAAUGGCUGAUGGUUUGCACGUGAAUUAUGAUUAUUUUGAGGGUUAAAUCAGCUAAAAUGAUGUGGAUGACACAUGGAAAAUU